rnacentral:misc_RNA from 1 species
AAAAAUUUUGAAAAAGUAAAAACAGACAAAAAUACUCAAAACAAAUAAAAAUAAUUAUCCAAAAUUGUUGAUUUAUUUUUUCAAGCAGAAAAUAAACCAUUAAUUGCUGCUAGACCAAUUUCAGUUUGAGGUACAAAAACAUUUUUUUCAUUUUCUCCAAAUCUCAUUUUAAUAUUUGAUGAAGACCCCUUAAUCUCUUGAACCAAAAUAGAAAAAGAUGAAAAUAAUUCAAUUUUUUCUUCAUUCCCAAAUUUUCUUGAAUUCUUGAUCCUCCUUUCAUAUUCUUCAGCAACCAACAUAGCAAUAUCAGCCAUAAUAAAAAUAAUAAU